rnacentral:misc_RNA from 1 species
GCAAACUUGGUCAUUUAGAGGAAGUAAAAGUCGUAACAAGGUUUCCGUAGGUAAGUUAUAAACAAUUAUCGCCACUUUUCAAUGAGAUUGUGUUCCAUGCUAACAGUCUUUUCAGGUGAACCUGCGGAGGGAUCAUUACUGAGUGAGGGCCCUUGGUCCGACCUCCAACCCCUUGUAAUCUAUACUUUGUUGCCUCGGGGGUUCCCCGACCGAAUAUUCGGUUCUGGGGCCCCCGGUGGACCAUUUCAAAACUCCGCGUCUUUGCGUCGGUCGUGAUUGACAAAUUGAAAUCAAAACUUUCAACAACGGAUCUCUUGGUUCUGGCAUCGAUGAAGAACGCAGC